rnacentral:lncRNA from 1 species
CCUCAUUUCUGAUUUGAUCCCAGAAUGUCCCGUUUUUCCUUAGGACAUCCUUAUUUUCAUUGGAGAAAUGUUGGAGGGUAUGGAGUUAUGUGGAACCCCCCCCCCCACAAGCCAAAGAGAUAAGUAACUAUGCAACCUUUAGAAGACAUCUGAAGGGAAGGACUACUGGAGUCUCUCUGAUGACCACUUACAACUUUCCAGAUGUCUUUGGUGCAUGAAUAAAUUGCAGCUGGACCAUAAGAACUUGCAGGGGACCCAACAAGAAGGGACGUUUAUCCUUCAGAUCCCAUCUUCUGUGGCAGGUAAAAAGUCCCCACAUCCUCUUUUCUAGUGUUUGGCUGUGCAACCAUGAGUCAGCAUAAAAUUCAGGAAAGUUUUCUGUGAUGUAAUCCUUUCCUAUUCCUGCUACUGCUAGAUUGUAAUUUGGUCUUCAAAUGUAUCACCUCAGAUGGAUUUCUCAGAUGCACAAAUAUCCAAUGUUCUCUCUUUUUUAAUGUUUUAAAAUUAUAUUGCAAUUUCAUGUUUUAUUGUUCUUGGUUGCAGUAGGUGUUUUGUGCACAAAGACAGGGCAAGUGUUGAAAUAAUAAAUGAUAAGUAAAUAUAAUACAGGUGGCUGCUUUAAAAUAUGUCUCAAAAGAGUGCUAAGGAUGGAGGAUUCCAUAUCUAGGUACUGGCUCAGUGCCCCUUACUGGCUUUGAGUAUGUAUCUAAAUGCUGUUACAAUUGGC